rnacentral:piRNA from 1 species
AGGCUGCUGCAUGGAUUGAUUGCCACAUA